GCGACCUUCCUGCCACUACGCUGCAACCAGGCGGCCCACGGUGCGGCCACUUUGGGUUGCUAAAUAUCUAGAUACUUCCGGCCCGCAUUGCCAGGUCCACUAGGCGUCCCCACCGUCCGGUAAUUACCGUCGCGCUGCCUGGCGGCCGAGUCUUCUGCGUGUGGCCCCCCUCACCUCCCGGCCCCGCCGUGGGAUCCGUCAAGCUAGUACUUUCCACGAGCCAAGCCCUUGGGACGGCGCCUGCCACCGGAUGAACACUCGAACUAUUUACAAGAGGUGGACAUCAGCAAUACAGAGAUCAAAUGAGAGAGGCCUCAUCAGAGGGGAGUCGAUGGAGAAAACGGUGGGCACGUUUUCCUUAUAAUCGGCUGAGCGUGGGGAAAAAAAAGUCACGAACAAAGAGAACUCAAAUAAUGCAACCUGGUGGCAUCUGAAAGAAAUGACCAACAUUCUGAUACGUUAUUAACAAGAAGCAAGACGAGGCGGUGACGGACCGUGGGCCGUACGUUCCCGUCGGGUAUUCUGCAUGCUACUAAACAGAAUUUGUCAAAAGAACCAUAAAAGCAUGAGAGAGAGAAGUACAUAAAAUAGCUGGGUCCCAGUGAGGUGUAACUUUGCACAGAGGGCAGUCCUACACGUUUGCGGAGAGGAAGUGGUAACAACCGUUACCGGUGACAACGCAGACGGUGCACGCGACGACGACAAACGAGGAUGGGGAGAGGAGUUAUGUGCAAAGUGCUCUUGUUCCCAAGCGACAUUCACCUGCUCGGGCUUCGUGGAACUUACGGGUCCUGUUUAUCAUACUUGUGUUUUGAUUUUGAAAGUUAAACUGAAGCCUUCAGCGUGGCGAUGCUGCCGUGAGCAAAACGCUGUGUCAGCUCGUGUCUCAACAGUUACGCGGUGUCUUCGGGGAAGAACGCUGUCCGAUCUGAGCGUCUCCAGCAUACGCAAAAUCUCUUACUGAAACUAUCUCCAUAACGUGGUGAGACGGCCACACUACAGGUCUGUGGUGCGUAUCUGCCAGAAGUGCCAGAAACAAGCUGGUUUGAUUGACUAACACAAGUAUUAUAAACAGUUUUAUUUUUCGUUACGUGUACAAUAUGUAAACAUGGCUUAUCUGCAUUUCACGGUGGGAUGUCGCCUGUGUGAGAAGUGAAAAUAUUGCACUGAGUCAUGGUGGCAGGUGACACUGCCUGGGGGCCGGCGGCAGGCCCUGGCUGCGUGUCACACGACCUUCUUUGGGACUCGGUGGACCGGACAGGGGUUCGUACGCACCCCCCACUGCGAAUCGGUGGCCACUGUCACGUUUAGCUACAGGGAAUUCUUAACUACUCAGCUUUAAAAAAGUAAGACUUGGAAGGCCAACAUGCUUUAGUAUCAACUGUGCUCCAGUGAACCCCAUGCUUGGUUGGAUGGAGAGUAUGAGGAAAAGAAAACACUGCAGGCCGAAGCAGCACCCCCGGGGGAUGACCUCACUGGAUGUCCUGCUGGUGUCACCAGGCUGCAGGGGGACCUGGGGGCAUGACAGUGCCCGUCAAGCUGAGGAAACAAAGUGCCAGAGGAGUGGGGACUCCGAGUUUGGGAUCCGAGGGAGAGAUUUGACGGGCUCUUCCUCUGCAGACGCGUCUGGACAGGGACACAGGAAAGCGAUGCUGGGAUGACGGUCACUGCGUCUAAGCGUGAUUGUACAAGUGGAAAGCCUUUUCAUUCGAAUCCUUCCUGCUUUGCUCUGGUGCCAGUCAGAAUCCUGAAACCUAAUUACUUUUCUCAGAGUCCACAGCUGGAAAUCACCACAUGUGACCUUUUUUUUUUUUUUUGUCAUGUCUAAAACAGGCAAGAAAUAUAUUCUUGACUUUAGUGAUACUGCAUAGGACAAAAGAAUUCUGGAAAAAUACAAAUGUAAGCUACAUUUCUUCUUUACCAUUUAAGCUGAGAGAUACCACUCACAUUCAUAUUUCUUAAACUUUUUACAUCACAACUGUCAUUUUAAACAAGCAAACUUUUUUUUUUUUAAGGAUACCCUGGAAAGUCAACUGAUAGAGCAGUUUGAGAAAAUAUAUACAUCCAUAAAAAAAAAAUCACAGGUACAUAAAUGGGGACACUUACAGACAAGACCGUGUGUGGUAGAAGUUAUGAAGGAAUAAAACAUACGAUGACUCUUUCAUCGGAAUAAGGGCAAUUAUUUUUCUCUUUACACGCCUGCUACAGGCCAGCCAGCCUUCUGUAAGACUCCAACCCUUUUCAUGUGUCACUCCCUUGGGUGAAUGAACACUCAGCUUAUUUUGGGACUGUUAGGUGCUGUGCCGGAGAUUCCUAUCGGGUUCAGACUUGUGAGCCACCCCUCCCUCCCCCCGCUGGGGGGUUUCUGGAGAACCACAUGGCAGGGAGUCGGGUGGCUGGAGAGAUGGCUUCUCAUAAACUCUGCACAAGGACCCUGGCGACAGGGGCCGGCUAGACUUGGGGGCGGGGGAGGCGCCCCGGGUGACAGGGGGUGGGGGUCUUUCUUGCCUGCACUUCGAGCUGAAGCAGUUUCCACUGGGGUGUCUGGUGAGUGGCAAGAUGCACCCGUAUCUAGUUAUUUGUUAGUCUUGCCUCGAAUUGUCACACGCUUUAUAAAAAUAUAAAUAACAAAAAUGUGAGCUGGGCUCCAUCUCGAGAGGUGUUUCCUGUGAUCCUCUGAGAACAGAGCGGAUCAGGGAGGUGUCCCCACGCCUAGCUGGCACAGCUGACCACGGGUCAGACCAUUGGAGG